GACGAACGCUGGCGGCGUGCCUAAUACAUGCAAGUUGAGCGCUGAAGGUUGGUACUUGUACCGACUGGAUGAGCAGCGAACGGGUGAGUAACGCGUGGGGAAUCUGCCUUUGAGCGGGGGACAACAUUUGGAAACGAAUGCUAAUACCGCAUAAAAACUUUAAACACAAGUUUUAAGUUUGAAAGAUGCAAUUGCAUCACUCAAAGAUGAUCCCGCGUUGUAUUAGCUAGUUGGUGAGGUAAAGGCUCACCAAGGCGAUGAUACAUAGCCGACCUGAGAGGGUGAUCGGCCACAUUGGGACUGAGACACGGCCCAAACUCCUACGGGAGGCAGCAGUAGGGAAUCUUCGGCAAGAGACGAAAGUCUGACCGAGCAACGCCGCGUGAGUGAAGAAGGUUUUCGGAUCGUAAAACUCUGUUGGUAGAGAAGAACGUUGGUGAGAGUGGAAAGCUCAUCAAGUGACGGUAACUACCCAGAAAGGGACGGCUAACUACGUG
rnacentral:rRNA from 1 species